rnacentral:lncRNA from 1 species
AAUCAACACUCCACUCAGACAAUGCCCAGACCUCCAGAAACCAUGUGUCAAGCUCGGAUUGCCUUAGACAGCUCACCCAGCUGGAACUCUUAUGGGACCUUGGCACCAGAGACCACAAAUUCCUCUUUGAAGUUUUCUAACAGCAACAAUGGUAUUUCUGACUUGGCUUUCUUGUAUUUCUCUCACGUUAACAAAAUUGGUUCAGCAUCUACCAUGGGCUACAUGCUGAGCUACAGAGUUUCGCUCUGUCGCCCAGGCUGGAGUGCAGUGGCGCGCGAUCUCGGUUCACUGCAAGCUCCACCUCCCGGGUUCACGCCAUUCUCCUGCCUCAGCCUCCUGAGUAGCUGGGACUACAGGCGCCCGCCACCACACCCAGGAAUCCAACUUGCUGUUUGCUAUCACAUGUGCUAUACAUGCUGUUGAUGAAACUGCUAAAGGGGCUGAAUGUGACUGACGUCUUUGGAAGGAUGAGACUUAGCGUGCCUGUACAGUUGUGUCCAAAUGCUGUCCUCAUCUCCCAAUGAAAAGGUAUUGUAAAUAAAGAGAAAGAUCAGAGGCUUAUUUUAAACACUAAAUAUGAGCUAGGAGCUGUCCUAGACACUAUGUAAAAGUUUUAUUUAGUUCUCACUGUAAUGUUGGCCUUAUGUUAGCAUCCCAUUUUUCAGACUGAGGAAAUUAUGGCUCAGAGAGGUUAAGAGACUUAUUGAAGGUCACACAGCUCCACAAACUUUGGUGUAGAUUGAACGUGUACAUGGGUCUAUGUGACUUUGAAUCUUGCAUUCUUUACAUUAUUGGAAUAUUUCACAGAAGGAAAAUGACAUAUUAACAUGGCAAUAAGAUUUCUGGUUCCAGUCUGGUUACUGGUCUUCCAAGAGUGUUAUAGGAUGUAUAGCCUGAGCUCUGAAGCUUUGUUCUGAAGCAUGCUAUCAAUAUGAACAAAUUGGUAUGGAAGGAAGCCACAAAUUAUAUACUAAAAUCUAGUUCAUCAGAGGAAAAUAUAGUUAAAUACAUUUACAUUCCCAGAACUGUUAAUAUUGAAGAAUAAAACACACAGUGGGAAAGAGACGAAGAGAAAAUACGCCUGUUUUUAUGACUUGUUGAUAUCUACAGGGUUUUUCCUUAAGCCUCACAACAAUUUACAGCAUUGCCAGCAGCAUUCAGUACAUUCAGAACAGGAUAAUUUCACCCGCAGCUGAACUAGGGCCAUGCCUGGGACAGACAGAGAAUGGCCUUCCAGCAGACAUGCCAAGAAGCAAGCCAGGGUCAGUGAGUGAAGAGGAGGGCAGGCCCAUUUGAAGCAACACAGUUUAUGAACAAAACCCAUCAGAAGAUGUCAGAAGAUAAGGAUUUUUGUCCUGAUGCUACACUUACCAGCUGUCCCUCAGUGUUCUACUUCUUAAAAAAAGAGAGAUGGAUAAACAGAGGCAACCCGAGGAUAAAGGCCUUGCUCAGUGUCACACAUUUCAGUCACUAAAUAAGACACAAUGGAUGCCAGUAUUCUCAUCCCCUCACAAAUAAAGAGCCUUCAAGCUCUUGCAGUCAACAAGAACUUUUGGAAUGAUUUCACUGCCUGAAAAGGCAGAUACAUAGGUGACACCCACAAAUAGGAAGAAAAUCAACCUGAACCUGAGUGUGUGGGCUCACUGACUCUAAGCAGUAGAGACAGAAGAAAAA